UACGGAGGGUGCAAGCGUUAUCCGGAAUUACUGGGUUUAAAGGGUGCGUAGGCGGCCUGAUAAGUCAGAGGUGAAAGAUCGGAGCUUAACUUCGAAACUGCCUUUGAAACUAUCAAGCUUGAAUCACGUUGAGGUUAGCGGAAUGUGACAUGUAGCGGUGAAAUGCAUAGAUAUGUCAUAGAACACCAAUUGCGAAGGCAGCUAACUAGGCGUGUAUUGACGCUGAGGCACGAAAGCGUGGGGAGCGAACAGG
rnacentral:rRNA from 1 species